ensembl:lncRNA
GGGGCUCCGAUGUGGUUGGCGAGGGGAGCAAAAUCGGCUUUCUCUGGUUGGUCCUGAGUUGGAAGCAGGGGAAAAAAUUAGGGCAGUCGUCAGUUAUUGAUCAAGUUCCAGCUGUUUGGGGCUGAUUGUUACAAAAGUGACUGUGCAGCCUCCUGGAUUGUGACCGGAGAUGGCAGCCUGGCUUCCUGCAAGUCUGACGUAGGCAGCUAGCUUCCUGGGAUGUUCACUGUAGACGAGGGGUCGGUUUCCCAGGCGGGUGGCUGCAGGUUGUGGUGACAGCUCCGUCUUUACAGAUGUCUGAUUGUUGUCUGUGUGUGUGCUCAGUCUCUCAGAAGCGGGCGAGGACCUGUAGACCUGGGCUUGGAAAGGCCUGCUAUCCAGCUGUGCUGAAGUGGGGCUAAGGAGAGACCAGUGGAGAGGCUGUGCUCCCCUGGCCCAGGGGCACGGCAGUGGGGCCAGCGCCAAACGGAAGGACCUAUGAGCUCCAGCUUCAGCCUCAGGCAGACGCAUUGCUUGUAAUUCCCAAAAGCAGGAUUUUAAAACUUACUGUGGAACAAUUGGUAUUGAACAUCAGGAUGUGUUAAGAAGGAAACGUGAUUCCUAAAUUCCGGAAGCCUCAGGAGGAAGAGGCUCGGAAUCCAGGACACAUGCGUGGCCCCCACCCGUGAGGGAAAGAUAGGAGUUCUAGCUGCCGAGACGAAACUUCUGAGUCAUUGUGGACAAAGCCGUACAGUUGAAAAGCACAGGUUUCUAUGAAGCAGCUUUUCCUUCCUGCUGUAGAUUCCAGAAAGGGAGGGAAGGCAGAUCCAACAUGGAAGAGGUCAAAGAGAAGCUGGACCAUCAGGGUGGACAUCGUCCUGGGGGCUGUGUGACUGAGAAAGCCGAUUAACCUCGACGAUGCUCGUUUUCCUGGCUCAUAAAAUGGGGGUGAUGAUAGGUAUGAUAUAACUUUAAAAAGCAACUUGGAGAUCCUGAGCAGUGCACGCCAUCCAGGAAACGACAAAUUUUUGUCCCAGUCUCGGUCCUCACGUACCACCCCUAUAAGUUUCCAGGUCCAAAUAUAUAGAUGUUUUGCCAGACAUUUAUCAUUUGUACAUUGAAAUAACAAACUACUUGCAAGUUGAUUUACCCUCCAAAAGAAGUAGCAUUUCCAACAUUGAGUCAAAGAUACUGAAGAGGCUUUAAAGUUUUCCACAUUAGCCGUCUGUGUCAAGUAACAAUAAGGUGCUUGUUUUUAAGUGAAAAGCCCCAUUCUAUGUGUUUCCCGCUGAGCUGGGUGUUGAUUGUCUGCAGGCAGCCCAGCGACCCUGCCGGCCGCUGUCUGUCCUGCUUUUACAAUCAGUCCUGGGGAGCUUUGAAGCAGCAGAAGAUGCCUCUGAGGGUUUAUCUGAAAGGCCUCGUUGUAGUCCGUCUGGUUGUUUUUAGAGCUGGCUGGAAAAGAGAUCUCUCUAGAUACCGUGCUUAGAAAUCAGUAUGCACGCGUGGUUUCCACUGUCUAAUUAAUUCAAAAUGAUCACGAGAAACUUUGUCCUCUCUACGCAAGGCACAGAGAGAGAACAACUUUUGACCUUUAAUCCCAGUUCCUACCCUGACAAAAGUACCCAAUGGCUUUGAGCGCAUCAUUUCAACCCCCCAGCUUCUGCCGGGUGCUGAGGAGCCUGGGGUCCUAAUUAGUCCUUGAGGGGACUGGAGGGGACGUGAACUGGACAGAUCCUGCCUGGGGGACCAGGACUCUGAAGGGGAGGGCAGAGCUGGCGUGCACCCUGGGGCUGCCCAGAGCUGACCCAAUUUUGCAGCACCAUCCUCUCUGCAAACCAUCAGCCUGUCCUUCAAAAUCUCUUCUUUCUAUCUAGUCACCUUGCUCUUCCAUCGCCGCCCGUGGUGGACAUUGGGGUCACUGAGACGGGCGUGCUCCUAUAUUUUAGAUUUUUCUGGCAUCUGUAGUGUAAACACAGCCCAGGUGGAUCCGAGGUUCGUAGGUUUGAAGAACCAUGAACAGAGGGAAGAUGGAGCAUCUGCUUUCCUACGAGCAACAUGCACAAGGGGGCGGCUUCAGUCUAGGACCCCAACGCUUAACUUGUCAUUUUGCCACCUGUUUUCAGACCCCGUCCAAUUUAGACUCUUGAGAGAUUACUAUUUCUAAAGUUAAACAGUCGAUUAAACAGGAUUUGGUUUAGCCCAUCACAGAUGUUAAAGAUUAAACCAGACCGAGGAGGGAAAACAGCCCACAAUGGAGGCACCCGCCCUCAUUAGGACCUGAGCUGGCACUGCCACGCCAUGCGGGAGCUCUUGACACGUUUCCAGCAGGACUCCCACACACCAGUGGCCGUCCUGGCCACUCCAGGAAGACAGGGACACGGACAGUCCCGUCUUCUUCACCCUUGAUGUCAGGGAGGGUGGCAGUGCUCUCUGAGGACAGCCAUUGUUGGCAGAACCCUGGAUGUGAGAAUUUCAUUGUUCUGCCCUGAGUGGCACUGAGUUACCAGAGCUGGGGGGCACAGGGUAAGGUGGGGCUGACCUGCCCCUGUGCCCGGACAAGGGGCUCUUGGAUCCGCCUGGGUGCUCAAAAAUGGCAGGAGUUAAGAAGGCUCCCAGAGAGCCAUGCACCAGGGACGGCUCUGUGCUGGGAGGGGGACCCCAGCAACCAAGAGCACUGGCUGUGCCUGUGGACCCCCGGUGCCCAGGGUCAGGGUGCUGAGCCACUGUCGACAGCGUGGGACAGAGCACAUCCCUCCAUCCCGAGAACCGCUUCUCCUGUCUUCGACUCACGGAGCCUGUUGGAUUGAAAACAAAAUGCCAGAGAGAGUUCCCAGGUUGCUCCUCCAAGGAGCCAAAGAGAACCCAGAAAUGAGAAGAUGUCAGGGGGCCGGCCUGUGGCUGAGUGGUUAAAAGUUCUGUGUACUCUGCUUCGGCAACCCAGGUAUGCGGGUUUGGAUCCUGGGCUCUGACCCACUCCACUCAUCAGCCAUGAUGUGGAGGCAUCUCAUAUACAAAAUAGAGGAAGAUUGGCACAGAUGUUAGCUCAGGGUAAAUCUUCCUCACCGAAAAAGAAAAGAAAGAGAAGAUGCCAGCAGCAGUGGUCUGGGGCCAGGCUCCCAGAAUCGCGACCUCCUCUGCAUCCAGACCCCCCCAUCCAACAAGGGUGGUGGCCUGGGACAAGGUCACUGCAGAGGAGGAACCUGAGCAGGGACCCUGAUCACCUGCCCAGCUGCCCCUCUCCCAGUGCAUCAAACAAGCAAACUCUUAUUCCUGCUCUUCUGGAUGGAAGGAGCAAAAGCAACCCGAGCCAUAAACAUGAACGUGGAGUGAAGGCUGGCAGAAGCUGUAGGGGGGAAUUCGCUUAUUCCAGGGGUGCACAGACCCGCACAUGCACAGCACCUUGGGUAUCGGUCCAAAGCAGCUCUUCAGGGAGGCUCAUCACAUACCAGCUCCAGCCCCACCCUUCACAGCAGCAUGAAUCCAUCCUAGGCUAGUAUUAGCUCUCACAGAAGAAUGGGGAUUUGGGUGAAAUAGUUUGGGUAGAAAAUGAGAACAAAUGGAGACAGGGUCGUGCAAAUGAUCCAGAGCUAGUUUGUUAGUUACAUGCAAGUCCCUGAAGAAAAAAGAUGUAAUUGCAAGAAUGUCUAAAUUGUUACAAUAUAAAUAAAGGAUUUACGAAAACAUCUUCUUCCUCCCGUGCCCCUGCACAGACUUGUUAAUUUGACCGAGAAGUCAAGCAGGAGAAUUCCAGCAGGGUUUUUAGUGGCUCACGGCUUUUAUGGAAAUUCAACAUAAAAUUUCUCGUCCCCAUUUUCCAUUUUGGCACGUAACUUGCCGCUUAAAUC